CAAGUCGAACGCGAAAGUUUCCUUCGGGAGACAAGUAGAGUGGCGCACGGGUGAGUAACACGUAGGUAAUCUACCUUUGGAUGGGGAAUAACAACCGGAAACGGUUGCUAAUACCGCAUAAUGCAGCGGCACCUAAUGGUGACAGUUGUUAAAGCGGGGGAUCGAAAGACCUCGCGUCUAAAGAGGAGCCUGCGGCGGAUUAGCUAGUUGGUAAGGUAAUGGCUUACCAAGGCCACGAUCCGUAACCGGCCUGAGAGGGCGGUCGGUCACACUGACACUGACAUACGGGUCAGACUCCUACGGGAGGCAGCAGUCGGGAAUUUUGGGCAAUGGGCGAAAGCCUGACCCAGCAACGCCGCGUGAAGGAUGAAAUCCCUCGGGAUGUAAACUUCGCAAGAACGGGAAGAAUAAGUAGGGGACAAUACCCCCUAUGAUGACGGUACCGUUUGUAAGCUCCGGCUAACUCCGUGCCAGCAGCCGCGGUAAUACGGGGGGAGCAAGCGUUGUUCGGAUUUACUGGGCGUAAAGGGCGCGUAGGCGGUCAGCACAAGUCAAUUGUGAAAUCUCCGAGCUUAACUCGGAAAGGUCAACUGAAACUGUGCGACUAGAGUGCGGAAGGGGCAACUGGAAUUCUUGGUGUAGCGGUGAAAUGCGUAGAUAUCAAGAGGAACACCUGCGGCGAAGGCGGGUUGCUGGGCCGACACUGACGCUGAAGCGCGAAAGCCAGGGGAGCGAACGGGAUUAGAUACCCCGGUAGUCCUGGCCUUAAACGAUGAAUGCUUGGUGUCUGGGGUUAUAAAGUCCCCGGGUGCCGUCGCUAACGCUUUAAGCAUUCCGCCUGGGGAGUACGGUCGCAAGACUGAAACUCAAAGGAAUUGACGGGGACCCGCACAAGCGGUGGA
rnacentral:rRNA from 1 species